GCAUCGUUUGGCACCUCGAUGUCGACUCAUCACAUCCUGGGGCUGGAGAAGGUCCCAAGGGUUCGGCUGUUCGCCGAUUAAAGUGGUACGUGAGUUGGGUUCAGAACGUCGUGAGACAGUUCGGUCCCUAUCUGCCGUGGGUGUAGGAAAAUUGAGAGGAUCUGUCCUUAGUACGAGAGGACCGGGAUGGACGUACCUCUGGUGGACCUGUUGUGGCGCCAGCCGCAUUGCAGGGUAGCUAUGUACGGACGGGAUAACCGCUGAAAGCAUCUAAGCGGGAAACCCACCUCAAAACGAGUUUUCCCUGAAGAGUCGUGGUAGACCACCACGUUGAUAGGCCGGGUGUGGAAGUGCGGCAACGCAUGCAGCUUACCGGUACUAAUAACUCGUUCGGCUUGAACAC
rnacentral:rRNA from 1 species